AAUUUUUAUUGAAAUAAGCAAGAAAAAAGGGACAUCACAAUUGAACAAAAGAUAAAAUAAGAUAAAUUGAUCAUAGCAGUGAGAUAAAUGGAGACUUUUGCUUGGAUAACCGAAUCAGAGCAAGUCAACAAGGAGUUUUCCACUAAGUAGUAAUGUCUGCAACUCUGCAUAAGUGCAUUUGAUGAUUACAAAAUGAGUUAAGAAAGUUCACGACAACUCAAGAAUCUCAAAUAACAACGACAAUAACAACCAAGUCUUAACCUAAACUACUUGGACUUGGCUUUAUGGAACUUUUCAUACUACUCUCUCCACGUUAUUUUAGGUCUCCUUUUCAUUUUUGCUUUUUUCACGACUAAUGUAUCAGACCUCCAUCAUGGGUAUUCGAUACUCUACAUUGGACAUGACCAAACCAUUUUAA
rnacentral:misc_RNA from 1 species